CAUAGCAUCCCGCACGCUAAAGAGGGCCACCCUGUGGGCAUUUGUCAGCAGGGGCCCGGUCAGGCACUGUGACGCUUAAACAGGUCGACCGGGCCCCUUCCUGUUUGGCAGCCAGCUGGGAGGAAGUGAGUGCCGUGCAUCACUUCCUCCCACCCGAGACCAGAGCCGCACAGGAGGAGGAAGGGAGGGAGGAGGGAGUUUCAGAGGAGAACUCCCAACUGCCUGAGCCUGCCACUGGAC